ACAGUGACAGCGACGAGGUGGACCGCA
rnacentral:piRNA from 1 species